GAUCAUGGCUCAGGAUGAACGCUGGCGGUAUGCCUAACACAUGCAAGUCGUACGAGUAGUUUUUAACUCUAGUGGCGGACGGGUGAGUAACACGUGAGAAUUUGCCUUUAGGAGGGGGAUAACAAUUGGAAACGAAUGCUAAUACCCCAUAUGCUUUUGAGUGAAAUGGAUUUUAUCCGCCUAGAGAGAAGCUCGCGGCUGAUUAGCUUGUUGGUAAGGUAAGAGCUUACCAAGGCGACGAUCAGUAUCUGGUUUGAGAGGACGAUCAGACACACUGGAACUGAGACACGGUCCAGACUCCUACGGGAGGCAGCAGUGGGGAAUUUUCCGCAAUGGGCGAAAGCCUGACGGAGCAAUACCGCGUGAGGGAAGACUGCCUAUGGGUUGUAAACCUCUUUUUCAGGGAGGAAUAAAUGACGUGUACCUGAAGAAUAAGCAUCGGCUAACUCCGUG
rnacentral:rRNA from 1 species